rnacentral:rRNA from 1 species
GUUGUUGGGUAGGGGAGCGUUCUGUAAGCCUGCGAAGGUGACCUGUGAGGGUUGCUGGAGGUAUCAGAAGUGCGAAUGCUGACAUAAGUAACGAUAAAGCGGGUGAAAAGCCCGCUCGCCGGAAGACCAAGGGUUCCUGUCCAACGUUAAUCGGGGCAGGGUGAGUCGACCCCUAAGGCGAGGCCGAAAGGCGUAGUCGAUGGGAAACAGGUUAAUAUUCCUGUACUUGGUGUUACUGCGAAGGGGGGACGGAGAAGGCUAUGUUAGCCGGGCGACGGUUGUCCCGGUUUAAGCAUGUAGGCUGGUUGUCCAGGCAAAUCCGGAUAAUCAAGGCUGAGGUGUGAUGACGAGGCACUACGGUGCUGAAGUAACAAAUGCCCUGCUUCCAGGAAAAGCCUCUAAGCAUCAGGUAACAU